rnacentral:piRNA from 1 species
UGAGUAAUCUUCAUUGGAGAA